rnacentral:tRNA from 1 species
AGAGCACUUGGUUCGAUCACCAUGCCGUUAAUAGCAAUUGGUAGUGCAAGGGGUCGAGUGUUCGAAUCACUCCGUCCCGACCA